rnacentral:lncRNA from 1 species
ACUACACCUUCACUUGUAUUCUCCUUUUCAAUGUCUAUCUCAAUAUAAAGAUGACAAUCGAGUGACUGCGAUUCUUUUGUUUGUUCCAUAAUUUGGAUACUAUCCUUUUCAUAUUCUUCUUUGCUUAGCCACUAUAGACAUGGUGGUAGUGAAAAUUCCUCAACCCGUUCAACAAUUUUAGUUUCUAAGUACUCAGACUUUCUCGAAUUAUCUACAACUUCAUCUACAAUAGAUUGGGACAUCACUUGAGGUCUUGUGUUUUGUUUUUCGAUAAUCUGGACAAGAUGCAACUCCAUAUUUCUUUGCACCAUCUGUAUAUUAUGCAACUGUUCUACAAACUUGGCUUGAUUCGCUAACACCUACUCAAUCAUUUCCUCCAUGCUACUUGUCGACGAGGAAAUUUGAUUACUUUGGACUUGCUGUUGGUUGGUAUGAGGUAGAAUUUGUGACUGAGUCAAACCCGUUUGAUUGCAGUAGUUUAUAUAACUUUGCAAUUCAUCAUAGCCCACAAAAAUUACUGAAUUGGGAUUUCUAGAACACAUAUCUUCUAAAUGAUCACUUUGACCACAAGACAAACACUAACUUGCAUUUGGACAAUUAACCUCAUGAUGUGGUCUCCCACAAAGACAACAAGAAUUUGCAUCACUCGAAAACCAUCUAUCC